UAUCGGAAUAGUAUUGCAUUCAGGAUUUUGUAUGAUUUGCUUAUACCCGUGAAAACAUCAACCUCCAAGGCUCCAACUCCAACAAGUCUUAGGUCACUAGGUGAGGUGAGGUGAGCCGAGGAAUGAUAAAACUAUAUCAGAUACAGCUUUGCCUAUAUCAUGGGCAAUUUUGUCAUUUCAAAUAAUUUAGUAAGAUGGAAUGCAAAAGCAAGGGAAUGGGGUAUUCCCCCUCAUUCCAUAAGUUAGUUCAAUCUCUCUCCUCAACCUCACUCCUCAACCUCAGUCAUCAUCCCACCCACCGGAGACCCACCCACCGGAACCGGAAGGUUUGAAGCCGGAAUUUGCCGGAAAAUUCGCCGGAAAGAGGCGUAACUGUGUUUUUUCGUGAAUUGAAGCCGAUAGUUUAAUGCAAGUCAGGGGUGGUGGAGGAAGAUUUCACAGCGAAUUGGAUAGAUAACAAUGACAUAUUCGUUGUAUUUUGCGCGUCGGAUUGCUUUCUUUUGGUUGUAUGGAUAAUGUUAAGUACUUUGUAUGAUUAUGGUUUUAUGAAUAUGUGAACUUAUCAUUUUGUAUUUAAAAUGAAGCAUCAUAUUGUGUUUAUCAUUUCCGCUAUAUUGUCAACAACAUAUCUAAUGGUGUCAAAAUUGCAACAUAUUUUGUU